UACGAAGGGGGCUAGCGUUGCUCGGAAUCACUGGGCGUAAAGGGUGCGUAGGCGGGUCUUUAAGUCAGGGGUGAAAUCCUGGAGCUCAACUCCAGAACUGCCUUUGAUACUGAAGAUCUUGAGUUCGGGAGAGGUGAGUGGAACUGCGAGUGUAGAGGUGAAAUUCGUAGAUAUUCGGAAGAACACCCGUGGCGAAAGCGGCUCUCUGGAACGGUACUGACGCUGAGACGCGAAAGCGUGGGGAGCGAACGAGG
rnacentral:rRNA from 1 species